rnacentral:rRNA from 1 species
UAGUCCACGCCGUAAACGAUGUCAACUAGCCGUUGGAUUCCUUGAGGAUUUAGUGGCGCAGCUAACGCGAUAAGUUGACCGCCUGGGGAGUACGGCCGCAAGGUUAAAACUCAAAUGAAUUGACGGGGGCCCGCACAAGCGGUGGAGCAUGUGGUUUAAUUCGACGCAACGCGAAGAACCUUACCAGGUCUUGACAUCCUAGAAACUUAGCAGAGAUGCUUUGGUGCCUUCGGGAAUCUAGUGACAGGUGCUGCAUGGCUGUCGUCAGCUCGUGUCGUGAGAUGUUGGGUUAAGUCCCGUAACGAGCGCAACCCUUGUCCUUAGUUGCCAGCAUGUAAAGAUGGGGACUCUAGCGGGACUGCCAGUGCAAACUGUGGGGAAGGUGGGGAUGACGUCAAAUCAUCACGGCCCUUACGUCCUGGGCUACGCACGUGCUACAAUGGUAUAGACAGAGAGCAGCCACUACGCGAGUAGGAGCGAAUCUUCAAACUAUAU